ACCUGCUGCUGUUCAGGUAGCAUUUUGUGUUUUUUAAGCUAGCUCACCUGCCAACAGCAAAGCAAAAGUGUCAAAAAUGUUGCUUUAGGAUGGUUUUGUGGAGGAAUACUCAAUGCUUGUGCCACGCUUCACAAAGUUUCUUCAGGAAUGUGGUUCCAAAGCUGAGGGGCCCUGACUGCAAAAACCCUAUCCCCAAAGAGGUUACUUGGGUAUCAGUACUCUGCUUCACCAAGAGAGGAACAAGGUCUCCAUCAGAAGCCGGCCGUGUUGUGAAGCAUGACUAAAGUUCUGGAUUUGGGGGAAGGGGAGCAUUUCAUAUCACACAAGCUGUCAGAGAAGUUCAAAGAGGGUUCAGAGAGGAGUCAGACUUCACCUUGACGUGAGCUGUUGGUGCAAACAGAACCGAGACUCUACCUGACGUCUCGCAUGCUGCAGACAUUUCCGUCUCCUCGAAUGGCAGGUCAGAUUGCUGGUAUCUCCCCUCUCAUAGCAAGUUUUUGUUUUUCUUUUGGAUACCUUUCGACUGCUUCAAUAAAAUAUAACAGGCCACCGCCAAGGCAGCCAGAUCUCUGGCAGUUCAGGAAGAUGCAUUUGUUUAGGAGAAAAGACAAUUGAA